AGCAGCCGCGGUAAUUCCAGCUCCAAUAGCGUAUAUUAAAGUUGUUGCAGUUAAAAAGCUCGUAGUUGAAUUUCGGAAUCUGUCCAUCGGUCGGGCUUCACUGUCCGUACUGGUGUGGUGGGUUCUUACCUUCUGAAUAACCAGCAUGCCAUUCACUUGGUGCGUUGGGGAAGCAGGACUAUUACCUUGAAAAAAUUAGAGUGCUCAAAGCAGGCUAGCGCCUGAAUACAUUAGCAUGGAAUAAUAAAAUAGGACGGCAUGGUUCUAUUUUGUUGGUUUCUAGGAUCACCGUAAUGAUUAAUAGGGAUAGUUGGGGGCAUUAGUAUUCAAUUGUCAGAGGUGAAAUUCUUGGAUUUAUUGAAGACUAAACUUCUGCGAAAGCAUUUGCCAAGGAUGUUUUCAUUAAUCAAGAACGAAAGUUAGGGGAUCGAAGACGAUCAGAUACCGUCGUAGUCUUAACCAUAAACUAUGCCGACUAGGGAUCGGACGAUGUUGAUUUUUAAUGUACUCGUUCGGUCG
rnacentral:rRNA from 1 species